rnacentral:rRNA from 1 species
GUAUAAUGGGUCAGCGACUUAUAUUCUGUAGCAAGGUUAACCGAAUAGGGGAGCCGAAGGGAAACCGAGUCUUAACUGGGCGUUAAGUUGCAGGGUAUAGACCCGAAACCCGGUGAUCUAGCCAUGGGCAGGUUGAAGGUUGGG